CAGAGAGCCCGUGAGCGUCCUGCACAAGCCACAGACAGCUGGGCCUCGUGGAGAACAGCAAUGGAAGUCAUCGCGUGCACAGAGGGCCCCGGGGCCUGGCACUGAGGUCUUCACAGAGGGCUUUUUUAAACUGAGUUGAAGAACCUGAGACUCAGAACAUUUAGGUGACUUGCCCUGAGUCACACAGAACAUGGCAGGGAAAGGAUUUGAACCCAGCAGAAAGAAAAACAGCUCCCAUGCCAUCACCCGUGGCCAUCAGACUGAGCGAGGUCAAAAGUGCUCACCCCACAGCAUCCUGCACCUCACCAGGCCAUCGCAGCUGUUCUUGCUGGCGUUGACAUCAUUCCGUCUCCCGUCUGUGCCACCUCUUCACUUUGGCUCCCCAGGCCGUAGGUCCCUGCAGGUCGGGUAGCACCUCUGGCAGCUGCUGCUUCAGGACGUUCCGGAGUCCUGUGCUCUGGACCUGGAAUCAGUCGUUCUAAUAAUCCAUGAUCCCACAUUGAACUUACUGCUCGUCUCUCCUUAGUGUCCUGUAAUCCGUAACAUUCUUCAA